GUCUAUGGCCAGACUACCUUAAAUGUGCCCAAUCUUGUCUGAUGUCAGAAGUUUAGCAGGACUGAGGCUGGUUAAUACUUGGAUGGGAGACUGCCUGGGAAUACCAGGUGCCAUAGGCU
rnacentral:rRNA from 3 species